UACGAAGGGGGCUAGCGUUGUUCGGAAUUACUGGGCGUAAAGCGCGCGCAGGCGGUCCUUUAAGUCAGGGGUGAAAGCCCAGAGCUCAACUCUGGAAUUGCCUUUGAGACUGUGAGGCUUGAGUACGGGAGAGGUGAGUGGAAUUCCCAGUGUAGAGGUGAAAUUCGUAGAUAUUGGGAAGAACACCGGUGGCGAAGGCGGCUCACUGGCCCGAAACUGACGCUCAUGCACGACAGCGUGGGGAUCAAACAGG
rnacentral:rRNA from 1 species